UCCUCCCUCUCUCCCGCCAGAUUCGUGCGCCUUUGACCUGUGCAUGAUCAGCAAAGGCGCCAGACCCGGAGAAGGACACUGAGAAGUGGCUGGGUGAGGUGAAGGUCAUGGCUCAGGAGCGAGUCUUCAUUGAGACUAUGGUUGCGGAGUGUGACAGGAAGAAGGGUCAGUGUGAGGACCUGCCUAAGGAGGUCGUAACGACACCCAACCCCUGUACGAAUCCCAUCGACUUGAUCUUUAAUCCGGGAUGUUUGGGACUGAAGUAAAUUCGGGACUUCCUCAACAAUUAAAACCACCACUUCUUCCUGAGACGGAUGAGCUAUUGACGGACCACAUGGCGUCGGGAAGCUCGCAAGUGGGAAGACCGAAGAGAUGCUGUAAUAUUUAGAUACAAGCCCCUGUAAUAUUAGACCAAAGAUCCGUAAGGUGCUGUAAUAUUGGGAUACAAGCCAAUUCAUUGCUGUAAUAUUAGGAUACAAGCCAAUAAGGUGCUGUAAUAAUUGGAUACAAGCCAAUUCAAUGAUGUAAUAUUAAGAUAUAGGCCCAUAAGGUGCUGUAAUAUUGGGAUACAAGCCAAUGCAAUGCUGUAAUAUUAAGAUACAGACCCAUAAGGUGCUGUAAUAUUGGGAUACAAGCCAAUGCAAUACUGUAAUAUUAAGAUACAAACACAUGGGGUGCUGUAAUAUUAGGAAGGAUUCCAAAGAGGAAUUGUAAUAUUAGGAUACAAGCCCAUAAGGUGGUGUAGUAUUAGGAUGCAAGUCCAUGAGAUGCUGUAAUAUUAGGAUACAGAUCUAUAAGGUACUGUACUAUUAGUAUAUAGACACAUGAGUUACUGUAGUAUUAGUCUGCAGGCCCAUGGAGUGUUGAACUCUUAGAAUACAUGUUAAUGGGGUGAUGUGUAGUAAUGGUACAUAUCCCUCAUUAGCACAUAUAAUCAAGUGCAGCCUCCAGCCUGUGUGCUUCUGAAAAAAUACUGUUUAAGUGGCCUAACCAAACCUAACAUUAACUAACCUAAUCUAAAGUGUAAAUGCACAUGUCAGCAUCAUAUUAGCGGAGAGCGCAUUCAUAUUGCAAUUGUUUUCGUUAUAUAGUCAGCAAUUAAUGUGAAAGUUUAAAUACUUUUGUUCAAUAAAGUUAGAUAUUUCCUCUUAAUAUCGGUCUGCAAGAUUCUGUCACCUCAUAAUGUUUAUAUACAGUUAUAAGUGAAGUUUCUCUUUCUGUAAAAUGCAAUUUGAAAA